AGGGUUGUAGUUAAAAUAAAUAAUAACAUUUAAUUUGCAUUUAAAAAAUAUUGAAUUCUCAAUCUACCUUG
rnacentral:tRNA from 1 species